UGCCUCUUAAGCAGGGUGUCGAGAGUUCAAGUCUCUCCUGGCCCUCCA
rnacentral:tRNA from 1 species